AACGAACGCUGGCGGCAUGCCUAACACAUGCAAGUCGAACGAGACCUUCGGGUCUAGUGGCGCACGGGUGCGUAACGCGUGGGAAUCUGCCCUUAGGUACGGAAUAACUCAGGGAAACUUGUGCUAAUACCGUAUGAUGUCGAGAGACCAAAGAUUUAUCGCCUAAGGAUGAGCCCGCGUAGGAUUAGCUAGUUGGUGGGGUAAAGGCCUACCAAGGCUACGAUCCUUAGCUGGUCUGAGAGGAUGAUCAGCCACACUGGGACUGAGACACGGCCCAGACUCCUACGGGAGGCAGCAGUGGGGAAUAUUGGGCAAUGGAGGAAAGCCUGACGGAGCAAUACCGCGUGAGGGAAGAAUGCCUAUGGGUUGUAAACCUCUUUUUUCUAGGGAGGAAUAAAAUGACGUGUACCUGAAGAAUAAGCAUCGGCUAACUCCGUG
rnacentral:rRNA from 1 species